rnacentral:rRNA from 1 species
GCUUCGGUGGUAUAGGAUUGGCUCGCGUGACAUUAGCUGGAUGGUGAGGUAACGGCUCACCAUGGCGAUGAUGUCUAGGGGUUCUGAGAGGAAGGCCCCCCACACUGGGACUGAGACACGGCCCAGACUCCUACGGGAGGCAGCAGUGAGGAAUAUUGGACAAUGGAUGGAAAUCUGAUCCAGCCAUGCCGCGUGCAGGAAGACGGCCCUAUGGGUUGUAAACUGCUUUUCUACGUGAGCAAUAAGGUCUACGAGUAGACUGAUGAGAGUAGCGUAGGAAUAAGCAUCGGCUAACUCCGUGCCAGCAGCCGCGGUAAUACGGAGGAUGCGAGCGUUAUCCGGAUUUAUUGGGUUUAAAGGGUGCGUAGGCGGCUUUUUAAGUCAGCGGUGAAAUUUUGCAGCUUAACUGUAACAGUGCCGUUGAUACUGAGGAGCUAGGAUUUGGUUGCUGUGGGUGGAAUGUGUGGUGUAGCGGUGAAAUGCUUAGAGAUCACACAGAAUAUCGAUUGCGAAGGCAGCUCACAAAGCCAAGAUUGACGCUGAGGCACGAAAGUGUGGGGAUCAAACAGGAUUAGAUACCCUGGUAGUCCACACUGUAAACGAUGAUAACUCGCUGUCGGCGAUACACAGUCGGUGGCCAAGCGAAAGCGAUAAG